rnacentral:rRNA from 1 species
CACGGGGGGAGCAAGCGUUGUUCGGAAUCACUGGGCGUAAAGGGCGUGUAGGCGGUCAGGUAAGUGGGAUGUGAAAGCCCUCGGCUCACCCGAGGAUCUGCAUCUCAAACUGCCUGGCUUGAGUAUGGGAGAGGAUGAGGGAAUUCCUGGUGUAGCGGUGAAAUGCGUAGAUAUCAGGAGGAACACCGAUGGCGAAGGCAGUUCUCUGGGCCGUAACUGACGCUGAGGAGCGAAAGCGUGGGGAGCGAACAGG